rnacentral:rRNA from 1 species
CCUACGGGAGGCAGCAGUGGGGAAUAUUGCGCAAUGGGCGAAAGCCUGACGCAGCAACGCCGCGUGAGGGAUGACGGCCUUCGGGUUGUAAACCUCUUUCAGCAGGGAAGAAGCGAAAGUGACGGUACCUGCAGAAGAAGCACCGGCUACUACGUGCCAGCAGCCGCGGUAAUACGUAGGGUGCAAGCGUUGUCCGGAUUUAUUGGGCGUAAAGAGCUCGUAGGCGGUUAGUCACGUCGGAUGUGAAAACCCGGAGCUUAACUCCGGGCCUGCAUUCGAUACGGGCUGACUAGAGUGUUGUAGGGGAGACUGGAACUCCUGGUGUAGCGGUGAAAUGCGCAGAUAUCAGGAAGAACACCGGUGGCGAAGGCGGGUCUCUGGGCAACUACUGACGCUGAGGAGCGAAAGCGUGGGGAGCAAACAGGAUUAGAUACCCCAGUAGUC